rnacentral:rRNA from 1 species
AGGAUAAACGCUGGCGGCGUGCCUAACACAUGCAAGUCGAACGCGCUUUUUUCGCAAGAGGAGAGCGAGUGGCGGACGGGUGAGUAACACAUGGGUACCUACCUUGGAGUGAGGGAUACCGGCGAGAAAUCGCCGACAAUACCGCAUACGCUUCUCUUCACCGGGAAGCAAAGUUGCGCAAGCGACGCUCUGAGAUGGGCCUGUGGCCGAUUAGCUAGUUGGUGGGGUAACGGCCUACCAAGGCGACGAUCGGUAGCUGGUCUGAGAGGACGAUCAGCCACACUGGGAUUGAGAACGGCCCAGACUCCUACGGGGGGCAGCAGUGAGGAAUUUUCCGCAAUGGACGCAAGUCUGACGGAGCAACGCCGCGUGCAGGAUGAAGGUUUUCGGAUCGUAAACUGCUUUUCUCGGGGACGAGCAAGGACGGUACCCGAGGAAGAAGCCCCGGCUAACUACGCGCCAGCAGCCGC